GUACUCGCUUCAGCAGCACAUAUACUAAAAUUGGAAUGAUACAGAGAAGAUUAGCAUAGCCCUUGCACAAGGCUGACCUGCAAAUUCGUGAAGCAUUCCAUAUUUUU